CAUAGGUCUGUCCCACGUACUGCCAAUUGCAGCAGCAGAUAUACAGUAUUCUGUUGGUGGAGUCACAGGUUCCUGCAGUUACAGCAUUCUCUGCAGUGGAAUAUACCCCACGUUUUCUUUGUAACUGAGAUCCUACUGUCCGCCCCGCGUGCUGCCAGUUGGAGCUGCAUCCAGCAGAUAUACAGUGUUGUGUUGGUGGAGGCACAGGUUCUUCAGGUUACAGCAUUUUCCGCAGUGGAUGAUCCGCCCGUUUGCUCUGUAACUGAGAUCCUACUGUCCGUCCCGCGUGCUGCCAGUUGGAGCUGCUUCCAGCAGAUAUACAGUGUUGUGUUGGUGGAGGCACAGG